GCAAAUAUAGUUUAACUCAAACACCAGACUGUGAUUCCAAAAAUAGAAGUUCAACCCUUCUUACCUGCC
rnacentral:tRNA from 1 species